UAGACCUGAUGGUGAGGGGCUGUCUUA
rnacentral:piRNA from 1 species